AGUUACAAAUCUCCAACCUGCUCUGAAACACAUUUGUCCCCUCCUCGCUUUUAUUGCUUUUAGGAACCCUCUCACACUGGGCGCUGCAACUCUCAAAGGGCGGGGAAAACAAUUCAUCACAUAGUUGCAGCGCUAAUGACAUUCACUAUUUAGACACAUGUUAUCUACACUCUAAAUCCUUCUGCUCCAGUCGAGUACCAGACACGGCGUCGAGUAGGACACAGUUGUCUCCGCUAUCUCCCAGGAAGUCUUCACUGCUCUCUUUCCCAAGGAGGUCACAGGAAGGAAUCAAAGUUAUUUAAAACACAGAAACAUUACUUAAAAUAGAAGAAACAAAGAAAAAGCAUAUAAUUAAACAUUAUCUAAAUGUAACUACAAGGCUACAUGAUACAACGAAUAUUUGAUAAUUAGUAAAAACAAUACAAUUUACCCAACAUCUCCCCCCUGUUUAUCACAUAUUUGUUCCACACCUCUUAUCCCUCCAAAAACAGUCACUUCAAAUGAUUUUCAACUGGGAGUUCAUUUUUUGGAAAGCAAACAUGUUUACACUCAGGGGUCAUACCCAGUCCAAAAGCCAGGAUCUGGAUACCUGUCAGAAGAAUCCUCAUCAGAGUAUUCUUUGUCAACAUCAGAUUUUUUCUCUAAUAAAGGAUACAUCUGUGCCAUCUGGUCCUCCAUGGGUGAAAUCGCUGUGGUAAUGAGACGGUUAAACAAAGAACGCAGGCACGGAACAAAACAACAUCCACACAAAGUCAAAAUUGCAGCAAAAACUGCAAUUGA